rnacentral:tRNA from 1 species
GCCGCCGUAGCUCAGUUGGUAGAGCGUCGCCAUGGUAAGGCGAAGGUCUCGGGUUCGAUUCCCGACGGUGGCUCCA